AAUAGAUACCCCGGUAGUCCAUGCCGUAAACGUUGGGCACUAGGUGUGGGGCUCAUUCCACGAGUUCCGUGCCGCAGCAAACGCAUUAAGUGCCCCGCCUGGGGAGUACGGCCGCAAGGCUAAAACUCAAAGGAAUUGACGGGGGCCCACACAAGCGGCGGAGCAUGCGGAUUAAUUCGAUGCAACGCGAAGAACCUUACCAAGGCUUGACAUGCACGGGAAGCCACCAGAGAUGGUGGUCUCUUUGGACACUCGUGCACAGGUGGUGCAUGGUUGUCGUCAGCUCGUGUCGUGAGAUGUUGGGUUAAGUCCCGCAACGAGCGCAACCCUCGUCCCAUGUUGCCAGCGGGUUAUGCCGGGGACUCAUGGGAGACUGCCGGGGUCAACUCGGAGGAAGGUGGGGAUGACGUCAAAUCAUCAUGCCCCUUAUGUCUUGGGCUUCACGCAUGCUACAAUGGCCGGUACAAAGGGCUGCGAUACCGUAAGGUGGAGCGAAUCCCAAAAAGCCGGUCUCAGUUCGGAUUGGGGU
rnacentral:rRNA from 1 species